rnacentral:rRNA from 1 species
UACGAAGGGGGCUAGCGUUGCUCGGAAUGACUGGGCGUAAAGGGCGCGUAGGCGGCUUGUAUAGUCGGAUGUGAAAUUCCUGGGCUUAACCUGGGGGCUGCAUACGAGACGUAUGGGCUUGAGUGCGGAAGAGGGUCGUGGAAUUCCCAGUGUAGAGGUGAAAUUCGUAGAUAUUGGGAAGAACACCAGUGGCGAAGGCGGCUCGACUGGCCCGGUACGUGACGCUGAGGUGCGAAAGCGUGGGGAGCAAAGCAGGG